rnacentral:rRNA from 1 species
UACGUAGGGUGCAAGCGUUAAUCGGAAUUACUGGGCGUAAAGCGUGCGCAGGCGGUUCUAUAAGACAGAUGUGAAAUCCCCGGGCUCAACCUGGGAACUGCAUUUGUGACUGUAGAGCUGGAGUACGGCAGAGGGGGAUGGAAUUCCGCGUGUAGCAGUGAAAUGCGUAGAUAUGCGGAGGAACACCGAUGGCGAAGGCAAUCCCCUGGGCCUGUACUGACGCUCAUGCACGAAAGCGUGGGGAGCAGACAGG